rnacentral:lncRNA from 1 species
GACGGCGCGGCCGCCGGCGGAGCUCACGGCCACACGAAUGGACGACGCGGCGGCCGGCGAGGUCUUAGGCAACGCGGAUGGAUGGUGCCGUGGCCGGCGAAGGUCUUCGGCGGCGAGCUCUCGGUGGCCCAUCCGCUGUUUGGUCCCUUCUCCCUUCCGUGACCCUCUCAAAAAAAUUGGUUGCUCCGACAAAAGCUGCUUGCUUUUGCAAAAAGCAUGAGGAGGCACUCGUUUCCUCUGCGGGGCACGAAGAGCUUCACGAGACGCAACCCAGUCCGAGCUAGAUGAGAAUCUCGCAUGGGGAACGAUGAGGCUACUCGCCAUAUCACCGCAUAGUGCAUGCUCGGGCCGGUAGUUAGGUUAGUUUAAGGGCUAUUGUGGCAGGAUGAAUUUCACAUGAAUUUUUGGAGGAAUUGAACUUUGUAAAAUCAUUGUGUUUCAAACAAAGCCCAUCGUGUGCAUUCUCGUUUUCAAAAAGUGUACAUACCACUACAGAUUUGAUCACCACUCACUAAAUAACCAAUCAACUAAGAUAAAACAAUGCAAAUUUAUCUAUUUUGAAAGCAUAACAAAUUCCAAAAGAAGGAUAUUUAAGUAAAUAAGACUCAAAUAAAUGUGGGACGCAUAUUUAAGUAGUGGAAAAAAUAUAUGAAGGAAUAUCAAGCCUUUAUUUAGGGCUUAUUUUAUAUGCAGUGUCUCUAAUGAUGACCCAGCUACUCACUUCCACACAACUCUCUCUUUCUCACUCGAUGAAACACACACAACGAAACACACUGAUGGAGGAAGAGAAAGCAAUACACAAGAAGAGACUAGAGAUUUUUUUGUCACUGCACACCAGCGAAACCACCAUACACUUCUCUUUCUAUUCUCCACGGGUUAAUCACACACUGAUUGCACGCUUUAAAUAGCACACACGCACAGCCGCACAGUAGCCAUGUUGGCCGCAUAACCAGCC